GUCGGAACUGGACCUUGCUGAAGGAAAUACUUUCUGACUCAUUGGAAUUUGUUAUAGUCAAAUUUGCCUAUGUGAUAACUUAGGUCUUCACGACGGCCCAGAGUAAGACGACGCAUGAGGACCCUUCUUGUCAUUUAAUUAUUGCUUGACCAGAACUGUGCCUUGUAAGGUGUUUCCAGACCUAAGAAUAACGGGAACAUGGAGGAGUGGCAUCUCCAGUGUAGCCACCCACCAAAGCCUCAUCCUGAACACUAUGGCCUAGUGGGUCACUUACAGGGAUGUAGCUGGCAUUGAUGUAGUCAGAGCAAGGAUCAUCAUCUACAUUGGAGAGCUUCACUCGCGUGGCAUCAUCUGGAAGGAGAGAUUUGCUGCUGAGUCUUGGAGUGACUUUUCUACAGUUUAUGUGAUGUGUGUGAUGUGCCUUAGCUCUGAUCCCCACAACAGCCACAGAUGGGAAGUGAUCUUAUCUCCAUUUUGCAGGUGAGGCUCAGGCAGGAUAACUAACUUGCCCCACAUUGCAUAGGUGGCCUAUAACCAGUCAGACACAGGAGACAACAUGAAGCCCCAUCUGUGCUUCCCUUUCUAACAUUACCACAUUUGCCUGAUGGAGUGGCCAGCUCCCUUUCACUGCUGGAAUGAAUACAAUCCAGAAAACCUACCUUCUAUUGCUUUACCUAAUGGGGUAAGGAAAUUUAAGUAGAAAUUGCUAACCGAAGACUUUGCUAAGCAAACCCAGGUCUGCUUGAUGUCAGAGCCCUUGCUGUUAACCCCAUUUACUGCUUA
rnacentral:antisense_RNA from 1 species